rnacentral:misc_RNA from 1 species
GAUGAAGAACGCAGCGAAAUGCGAUAAGUAAUGUGAAUUGCAGAAUCCAGUGAAUCAUCGAAUCUUUGAACGCACAUUGCGCCCGCCAGUAUUCUGGCGGGCAUGCCUGUUCGAGCGUCAUUUCAACCCUCAAGCUCUGCUUGGCGUUGGGGAUCGGCAACCCGGCUUCGCGCCGCGCCGUCCCUCAAAUACAGUGGCGGUCACGCUGCAGCUUCCUUUGCGUAGUAGCACACCUCGCACCGGAGAGCAGCGCGGCCACGCCGUAAAACCCCCGACUUCUUGUUUUUGACCUCGAAUCAGGUAGGACUACCCGCUGAACUUAAGCAUAUCAAUAAGCGGAGGA